AUUGAACGCUGGCGGCAUGCCUUACACAUGCAAGUCGAACGGUAACGCGGGGCAACCUGGCGACGAGUGGCGAACGGGUGAGUAAUGUAUCGGAACGUGCCCAGUUGUGGGGGAUAACUGCUCGAAAGAGCAGCUAAUACCGCAUACGACCUGAGGGUGAAAGCGGGGGAUCGCAAGGCCUCGCGCAAUUGGAGCGGCCGAUAUCAGAUUAGGUAGUUGGUGGGGUAAAGGCCCACCAAGCCAACGAUCUGUAGCUGGUCUGAGAGGACGACCAGCCACACGGGGACUGGGACACGGCCCAGACUCCUACGGGAGGCAGCAGUGGGGAAUUUUGGACAAUGGACGCAAGUCUGAUCCAGCCAUGCCGCGUGCGGGAAGAAGGCCUUCGGGUUGUAAACCGCUUUUGUCAGGGAAGAAACGCUCUGGGUUAAUACCUCGGGGUAAUGACGGUACCUGAAGAAUAAGCACCGGCUAACUACGUGCCAGCCGCCGCUGUAAUAC
rnacentral:rRNA from 1 species